GACAGAGGUGCCGAGCGUUAGGCGGAAUCACUGGGCUUAAAGCGCGUGUAGGCGGACCGUUAAGUACCUUGUGAAAUCCCCCGGCUCAACCGGGGAACGGCUGGGUAUACUGGCGGUCUUGGGCCACCUAGGGGUCAUCGGAACAGGCGGUGGAGCGGUGAAAUGCGUAGAUAUCGCCUGGAACGCCGACGGUGAAAACAGAUGACUGGGGGUGUGCCGACGCUGAGACGCGAAAGCCAGGGGAGCGAACGGG
rnacentral:rRNA from 1 species